rnacentral:rRNA from 1 species
GGAGUCUAGCAUGUGCGCGAGUCGUUUGGUGUUUUUAAUAUACCCAAAGGCGCAAUGAAAGUGAAAGUCAACCUUGCGUUGGCCGAGGGAGGAUGGGUUGCCUUUUGGCCGCCCCGCACUCCCGGGGCGUCUCGUUCUCAUUGCGAGUUGAGGCGCACCAACAGCGUACACGCUGGGACCCGAAAGAUGGUGAACUAUGCCUGGUCAGGACGAAGUCAGGGGAAACCCUGAUGGAGGUCCGUAGCGAUUCUGACGUGCAAAUCGAUCGUCUGAACUGGGUAUAGGGGCGAAAGACUAAUCGAACCAUCUAGUAGCUGGUUCCCUCCGAAGUUUCCCUCAGGAUAGCUGGCGCUCAUGCGUAAGAGUUUCAUCCGGUAAAGCGAAUGAUUAGAGGCAUUGGGGUCGAAACGGCCUCAACCUAUUCUCAAACUUUAAAUGGGUGAGAUCUCCGGCUUGCUUAAAGUAAUUUAUAUUUUUGAAGCCGCGAGACUCGAAUCAGAGUGCCAAGUGGGCCAUUUUUGGUAAGCAGAACUGGCGCUGUGGGAUGAACCAAACGCAGAGUUAAAGCGCCUAAAUCGACGCUCAUGGGAUACCACGAAAGGCGUUGGUAACUUAAGACAUCAGGACGGUGGCCAUGGAAGUC